UUCAAGUGAUGAGAUUUGAUCUAAAAUU
rnacentral:sRNA from 1 species